rnacentral:rRNA from 1 species
GUCGAGAAUCUUUCACAAUGGGGGCAACCCUGAUGGAGCGACGCCGCGUGGAGGAUAAGGUCUUCGGAUUGUAAACUCCUGUCAUGCGUGAACAAGGUUGCUUGGAUAAUACCUGAGCAAAUUGAUGGUAGCGCAAGAGGAAGAGACGGCUAACUCUGUGCCAGCAGCCGCGGUAAUACAGAGGUCUCAAGCGUUGUUCGGAAUCACUGGGCGUAAAGGGUGCGUAGGUGGCGUGGCAAGUCAGAUGUGAAAGCCCGGGGCUCAACCUCGGAACUGCAGUCGAUACUGCCAUGCUAGAGUACUGGAGGGGUGACUAGAAUUCUCGGUGUAGCAGUGAAAUGCGUAGAUAUCGAGAGGAAUACCAAAGGCGUAGGCAGGUCACUGGACAGUUACUGACACUGAGGCACGAAGGCCAGGGGAGCGAACGGGAUUAGAUACCCGAGUAGUCC